GACGAACGCUGGCGGCGUGCUUAACACAUGCAAGUCGAACGGAAAGGCCCAGCUUGCUGGGUGCUCGAGUGGCGAACGGGUGAGUAACACGUGGGUGAUCCGCCUCUAACUUCGGGAUAAGCUUGGGAAACUGGGUCUAAUACCGGAUAGGACAAUCGUUUAGUGUCGGUUGUGGAAAGUUUUUUCGGUUAGGGAUGAGCCCGCGGCCUAUCAGCUUGUUGGUGGGGUAAUGGCCUACCAAGGCGUCGACGGGUAGCCGGCCUGAGAGGGUGGACGGCCACAUUGGGACUGAGAUACGGCCCAGACUCCUACGGGAGGCAGCAGUGGGGAAUAUUGCACAAUGGGCGCAAGCCUGAUGCAGCGACGCCGCGUGGGGGAUGACGGCCUUCGGGUUGUAAACCUCUUUCGACAGGGACGAAGCUUUGGUGACGGUACCUGUAUAAGAAGCACCGGCUAACUACGUG
rnacentral:rRNA from 1 species